GGUUCCAUAGUGUAGUGGUUAGCACGUCUGUUUUCCACGCAGAAGGUCCUGGGUUCGUGCCCCAGUGGAGCCA
rnacentral:tRNA from 1 species